CGCGUCGUCUUAUGGGACUAGGAGAGCUUUUCAGUUUCUCUUCAUCUCUGGGCUUCUGUCUGUCUCUCCCGCCCUCGCCUUUGUGCUCCUGCUGCCUCUCACUCGUCGCCGUGUCGCCUCCACUCGUCGCUGUGUAACUCCUGUCUUCGCCGCCGAAGCAGCUGCUGCAUUUAUUCUCGACGUCGUCCGUCGCCCCGGCCACCUUACAGCGGCCGAGCCCAGCCAACCGACGCCUCCAGCUACUCCUCAUCGCUCUCUCUCUCUCUGCUUGGACAGGCUCCGGCGGCUUUUCGUCUGCAAGGGCAAAAGAAUCGGUUUCGCAAGUGAGUGCCGAAUUCUCCUAGUAAUAGAAGGGAAAAACCGAGUGAAUUGAAGCAAGGACGUCCAGCAUGGGUAAGGGAGGAAAAUGAGAGUGUCAUUGUUGAACGGCAACAGUUCAAGCUUUUUUCUUAGAAGCAUCUUCGGUAGUGGCAAUUCUCUUGCUUUAGGAAGCGUUUGGAGACCUCUUAAGGCGCGAAACCCGGCUAAAGCAGCUGGGUUCUUGCGUUGCAAAUCAAUGUCGACGGAUUCGCCUGUGGUGCAAGUGAAGGAAAAGAUCGAUUUGACAGAGAAGGAGAAGAUGAUCUUUGAUAGGCUUCUUGCCACCAUUCGCCAUUUUGAUCUCUCUACCCAGCUGCGCGUUGCUGGUGGCUGGGUCCGUGAUAAGCUUCUAGGGAAAGAGUGUUAUGAUAUCGAUAUCGCACUUGAUGACAUGUUGGGUAGUACAUUCGUUGAUAAGGUUACCCAAUAUUUGGCAUCAACAGGAGAAGAGGCACAAGGUCUGGCUGUUAUCCCAAGCAACCCAGACCAGUCGAAACAUCUGGAAACGGCGAGGAUGCGCAUCUAUGAUACAUGGAUAGAUUUUGUGAACUUAAGGUCUGAAAAGUACAGUGAGAAUAGCCGCAUUCCCACCCAGAUGGAUUUUGGCACUGCUGAAGAGGAUGCUUAUAGAAGGGAUUUAACUAUAAACAGCAUGUUUUACAAUAUCAACACCAGCUCAGUUGAAGAUUUAACUGGGAGAGGGUUUGAAGAUCUUAGAUCAGGAAAAAUUGUGACACCUCUAGCCCCAAAGGAAACAUUUCUGGAUGAUCCACUGCGAGUUCUUCGUGCUGUUCGCUUUGGCGCAAGGUUCGGAUUUACAUUGGAUGAAGAGCUGAAGAGAGCUGCCGCAUCCAAUGAUGUCAAAGAUGCACUUGCAGCUAAAAUCAGUAGAGAGCGCAUUGGAACAGAAGUUGAUCUGAUGAUAUCAGGCAAUGAACCAGUUAAAGCUAUUGCUUACAUCCAUGAGUUGCAAUUAUUUUGGGUUGUCUUCAGUCUACCUCGUGAACAUGAGCUGACAUUACCAGAAGAGUGCGAUAGGCUCUGCUUGGCUUAUAUGGAUGCUGCAUGGAGCCUUCUGCAGCUAAUUGGAUCAUUGUCUCUUGCUGAUGAACAACGAAGGUUGUCCUUGUAUGCAGCUCUGUUUUUCCCAUUCAGAACCAUCACAUACAAAGAUAGCAAAGGCAAGAAGAUUCCAAUCGUCAACUAUGUUUUUCGAAACUCUCUCAAGCGAAAGGCUAGCGAUGCUGAGACAGUCGUCGGUGUACACUCUGCUGUGGCAAGACUGCUUAGCUUGAUUCCUUUUCUUGAAUCAAAUGUUGACAGAGAGCUCAAUGAAGAUGAUAUGGGCAGUGAACUUGUUGAUAUUCCUGCUUCGUCAAAGCUGCGGGUAUUAACAGGAUUUCUCCUGCGAGAAGUUAAGGAUUUCUGGCGAGUAGCACUAUUGAUUGCUGUGCUGGCUUAUCCCUUUCCUAUUGGCUGCUCUGAAGAUGCCAUGUUCAAGCACUACGAAUUAGACAAGAGAAAAGAGGUGUUCAAGGCAGUUGAGAAUGCUAUUCUCAAAUUAGGCCUGGAAAAAAUAUGGGAAGUGAAGCCUCUAGUCACUGGAAAGGAUAUUAUGAAUGUUCUGCAGCUCAAAUCUGGAGGUCCAUUGGUUAAGGAAUGGCAACAAAAGCUACUUGCGUGGCAGCUGGCAAACCCAGCUGGAACUGCAGAUGAGUGCCUAGAAUGGAUGAGGCAAACUCAUUUGAAGCGAAUAAAAAUGGAGUGAAUUUACAGCAUAUCUUUGUAGUUCAGACAUAUUCCGCAAGGUCUGGAGCUGCAACUACAGUUGUUCAGAAAUAUGUGGAAACUUUACAGCAUACGGCAUCAGAAUACUAGUUUCAAAAGUACAUUUGUCCCGUUUAGGAUGUAAAUUCAAAGGCUGUUGGUGGGCUAUUGAAAUUUCGACUACGCAUAUCUUGUUUUACAGGACAGACAGGAUGCAAGGAUGCGUCUCUUAUGGAAAGUUGAAUUUAUGGGUAGAUAUUUCAUCUCCAGUUGGUACCAAAGAGCACUCCUCUCUCUGUGUUUUUGUGGAACUUGAAAAACGAUACAUGCAUAACUGCAUGGUACGAGCAGGGGGGAAAUUGAAAUGGCAGAAAAAAAGUAAUAAUUGCAUGA